rnacentral:rRNA from 1 species
UGGAUGAUGUGGUUUAAUUCGAUGCAACGCGAAAACCUUACCCACCUUUGACAUGUACGGAACCUUUAGAGAUAGAGGGUGCUCGAAAGAGAGCCGUAACACAGGUGCUGCAUGGCUGUCGUCAGCUCGUGUCGUGAGAUGUUGGGUUAAGUCCCGCAACGAGCGCAACCCUUGUCAUUAGUUGCUACAUUCAGUUGGGCACUCUAAUGAGACUGCCGUGACAAGCCGGAGGAAGUGGGGAUGACGUCAAGUCCUCAUGGCCCUUAUAGGUGGGGCUACACACGUCAUACAAUGGCUGGUACAAAGGGUUGCCAACCCGCGAGGGGGAGCCAAUCCCAUAAAGCCAGUCGUAGUCCGGAUCGUAGUCUGCAACUCGACUACGUGAAGUCGGAAUCGCUAGUAAUCGUGGAUCAGAAUGUCACGGUGAAUACGUUCCCGGGUCUU